rnacentral:rRNA from 1 species
GGCCACAGCAAUAUCACCCUGCAGCCCAAGAUUGGUUACUUACUGAAGCUAAGCAGGGCUGAGCCUGGUCAGUACCUGGAUGGGAGACCACAUGGGAAAGCUAGGUUGCUGUUGGAA